AGGACGAAUGCUGGCGGCGUGCUUAACACAUGCAAGUCGAGCGGAAAGGCCCUUCGGGGUACUCGAGCGGCGAACGGGUGAGUAACACGUGAGCAACCUGCCCUUAGCUUCGGGAUAGCUCCGGGAAACCGGAAUUAAUACCGAAUAUGACUUUGGCUGACAUCAGCAGAAGUGGAAAGUUUUUCGGCUAGGGAUGGACUCGCGGCCUAUCAGCUAGUUGGUGAGGUAACGGCCCACCAAGGCGACG
rnacentral:rRNA from 1 species